UACGUAGGGUGCAAGCGUAAUCGGAAUUACUGGGCGUAAAGCGUGCGCAGGCGGUUGUGCAAGACAGAUGUGAAAUCCCCGGGCUCAACCUGGGAACUGCAUUUGUGACUGCACGGCUGGAGUGCGGCAGAGGGGGAUGGAAUUCCGCGUGUAGCAGUGAAAAUGCGUAGAUAUGCGGGAGGAACACCGAUGGCGAAGGCAAUCCCCUGGGCCUGCACUGACUCAUGCACAAAGCGUGGGGGAGCAAACA
rnacentral:rRNA from 1 species